ACCACUGGAAACGGUGGCUAAUACCGCAUAACGUCGCAAGACCAAAGAGGGGGACCUUCGGGCCUCUCACUAUCGGAUGAACCCAGAUGGGAUUAGCUAGUAGGCGGGGUAAUGGCCCACCUAGGCGACGAUCCCUAGCUGGUCUGAGAGGAUGACCAGCCACACUGGAACUGAGACACGGUCCAGACUCCUACGGGAGGCAGCAGUGGGGAAUAUUGCACAAUGGGCGCAAGCCUGAUGCAGCCAUGCCGCGUGUAUGAAGAAGGCCUUCGGGUUGUAAAGUACUUUCAGCGGGGAGGAAGGCGACGGGGUUAAUAACCGCGUCGAUUGACGUUACCCGCAGAAGAAGCACCGGCUAACUCCGUGCCAGCAGCCGCGGUAAUACGGAGGGUGCAAGCGUUAAUCGGAAUUACUGGGCGUAAAGCGCACGCAGGCGGUCUGUUAAGUCAGAUG
rnacentral:rRNA from 1 species